UAGAAACAAAAUCCUGUGACAAAGAACAGAACAUUAGAAGCAUUAACCCUUAAUGAAUUGCAAUCUGAAAUACAUUAAAAAUACUCAUAUACAGUGAAAUACAUUAAAAAUACUCAUAUACAGUGCAAAUGAAAGUAUUGAUUUACAUCUGAUUCUAGUAAUCUGUCUUUCUCUAGGAGUGUAUUUCCAAAUAUUUUGCUAAGAAAAUCCAAUGCAUUUAAGCAGAACUUUGUCUUCGUGCUAGAAAAAGAGUUUGAGGAAAUAAUUUUAAGGUUUUAUUUGUUUGCUUUGAACUGUCUCAGUAACAGCAAGUAUUGGGAAAAUUCAUGCACAUUUUCUGUUGUAGAACUGUAUCACUUCUGGCUCAACCAUUCCUUCCAGACCACUUAGUAUCGCGUGUAAAGUGCUCUAGGAGAUUGUGGUGCUCCAUAUAGCAAGACUCCUGAUCUCUGUCGUAUGGGCAGGUUUGCAAAUAAUUCUGGAUACUGGAAAAGAGUUUCAACAAGACAUAUUCUAAAAUAUCUGUUCCAGUACUGUAUCUGAGGCUGCAGGGAAGACAAACAACAUCUUAACAAUUUUACCUGAACUUACCUGAUCUGGAGGUCGG